rnacentral:rRNA from 1 species
UACGUAGGGGGCAAGCGUUGUUCGGAAUUACUGGGCGUAAAGGGCGCGUAGGCGGCUCGGCAAGUCUGGAGUGAAAGGCCAGGGCUCAACCCUGGGACGGCUCCGGAAACUGCCGAGCUAGAGUGCGGAAGAGGCAACUGGAAUUCCCAGUGUAGCGGUGAAAUGCGUAGAUAUUGGGAAGAACACCUGAGGCGAAGGCGGGUUGCUGGGCCGACACUGACGCUGAGGCGCGAAAGCCAGGGGAGCAAACGGG